rnacentral:misc_RNA from 1 species
UAUUUUUCCACUGAUUGUGAGAAUAGACGGUUCUGUCGCGGAAAGUGCAACAAUUUGCUGGACACACGAAUGCCUCAGAAACAAAAAUACAGUUGGUGAUCGACUCAGAGAUCGGUCGGUCAGUGACCAACGAGGAAAAAGACAUAUUAGAGACAUCAUAAUGCCAGGGCGAAGCUGUGUUCCAAUUUAUAACCGGAUGAUAUCGCGAUAGAGUCUCAGGUUCGAGGCAUUGUGUUCGGUAGGGUUUCGUUCCUGAUGUUACACCGGGCAUCGACUGGGUGGGGUCUUGGUGCCUUGGUGGCCUGCCACAAGGUAUCCUUUUGAUAUCCUGUUAACUAAUGCUAGCUAUUCGUUACAGACGAAUAACUCAAGAGACGUAUACGUUUUCCGCUUAAAGAAUACUGCCGCGUUUCAUGAACGAUUCGACACACUCGAGUCCUCGUUCGAAGAUUCUUCAAAGUCUAUCGAAAUAAGUACAGUUAUUUGGAAUAGAGUUAAAACAAAAUAAAAUACGUACGUAUUCAAGUACGAAGUAUUAUCAAAACCUCCUUUACAACGUUUUAUCUGAAUGCGACUUAAAAAUAGUCUCACAGAGAAAAGGACAAGGUAAAGAACUUGAAAGACGCAUAGAUUAACACGUGCAAAGCAAAGGAAGAAUGUAAAGAAGUAUACAUAAAGCUUAUGUAAUAUAGUGGGUGAAUGAAGGAAAAAAAUCCUGGUUACAACGAGCGAGAAAAAGGACACCACGAUGAGAUAUGAAGGUGAAUCCACGAGAUUCUUAUUCAUGAAGGAAUACUUAUUUUAUACAGGAGAUAAGAAAAAUCUACAUUAUUGGUAAAUAUGUAUUGC